rnacentral:tRNA from 1 species
GGGCGCGUAGCUCAGCGGGAGAGCGCUCGCCUCACACGCGAGAGGUCGCAGGUUCAAUACCUGCCGCGCCCA